rnacentral:rRNA from 1 species
GGGUUUAUUAAAAGUGGUUUAUUUAAAUAUUUUUCUCGAAUCUAUAGGAUCUAGGGUUUUAUAAAUUUUAUUGUGGAAUAAUUAUUUAAAAUAAAGUUUUAGGGUGAAAUGUAAUUCGUUUGUAGUGAUAUCUAGUUUUUUAAGAAAUUAAUUUAAUUAAGUUUUUUAUUUGAUUUUAAAUGAUAGGAAUUUUCAAUGAAAAUAUAAUAUUUAAGGGGAUAAGCUCUUAGGUGCAUGAAUAUAAUUGAUUAUUUUUAUGUAUAAAAUAGGAUUAGAAGUUUUCAUUUUUAGGAAGGUGUAAUAACUUUUUAUAUAAUUGUAGGAUUUUUUUGUAUUUAUUUUUUUUAUUAAAAUUAAUAAAUUAAUAAGGUUUUUAUUGUAAUAAUGGUUGAAUUAGUAUAUUAAUUUGUGGUUUUAAUUAAUCAGGUAGAUUAGGUUGAGGAAUUCGGCAAAUAUUUUUCUUGCCUGUUUACUAAAAACAUGGCCUUUUGAAAUUGAUUUUAGGUCUGGCCUGCCCAAUGAUUAAAAUUGAAUGGCCGCGGUAUUUUGACCGUGCAAAGGUAGCAUAAUCAUUAGUUUUUUAAUUGGAAGCUGGAAUGAAUGGUCGGACAAGGGAGAUUCUGUCUUUAUUUAAUUAAGUAGAAUUUAAAUUUUCAGUAAGAAGGCUGAGAUGAUUUUGAGGGACGAGAAGACCCUAUAGAAUUUUAUACAAGGGGGAAUUUGUAAGUUAGGGUUGAUAUAUAAAAUUUUUUGUUUGUGUUUUGUUGGGGUGAUAGAAAAAUUUAAUAAGCUUUUUCUUUUUAAUACAUAGAUUAAUGAGUGAUUGAUCCAAUGUUUUUGAUUAUAAGAUUAAAUUACCUUAGGGAUAACAGCGUUAUUAGUUUGGAGAGUUCUUAUCGAUAAAUUAGUUUGCGACCUCGAUGUUGGAUUAAAAUAAGCUUAGGGCGUAGGGGCUUUAAGGCUGAGUCUGUUCGACUUUUAAAAUUUU